GCGGCCCGGGUCUCUUCCAAGGCCAUUCCAUUGGCUGUAGGGGCUUGCCAAGGGGCGGGGCACCCCCCCAACCUCUGCUGCCUUCCCCCCCCCUUGUGAUGUCAGGCCCUUGGUAUUGGGAGCUGAUUGUGUCAUUGUUUCCACCUAGGGGGGCAGCCUACGUUAUUCUGGGGGGGCUUGGUCAGACAGAGACCAGCCUUCUUCCACCCACCCCUCCCGCUGUCCAUUGGGCCUCUGGCUGGGUCUGAGUCUCUUUGUCUCUGAGGUCUCUUUAUCCCUCUGGAGUCUUGAGGCAGGACUGACACCCAUGAUAGUUUAGUGAGCACCACCCCGGGUUUAUCUCCAGAUACCAACAGUCUAUAGCCUUAGGUGGGGAAACUGAGGCAUGGGGCUUGGAAUCACUUUUCCAGUGUCACACAGCAGGCCAGGGGCUGAGGAGAAUUUGAGACCAUGCUCCAUGAACCUCAACUAUGAGGCUAAGGUGGGGUUUCUCAACCUCCACACUGUGGACAGCUGAGGCUGGAUAAUUCUUUAUGAUUGGGGGACUGUCCUGGGCAUUCAUUGUAAGACUUCAAGCAGCAUCCCUGGCCUCUACCUGCUAGAUGCCAGUAGCACUCUCUUGGUCCCAAUAAACAGAAAUGUUGAGGCACUGCG